rnacentral:misc_RNA from 1 species
AUGAUUACCGAUGAAAACUGGAAAAUUUACUGGCAAAAUUAUACCGAAAGAAAGAAUAUAAGAUUUAAAUCCACAAAACAAUCUGAUGGUAGUAAAAUUCAAAAUGUGAAAAAUCAAUUAAAUGUCGGAAAAUAUCGUCAAAAGAAACAAGGUGUUUCUCUUGUACAAUUCUUACAAACAGAAUUAACAAGAGGUUAUCAAUUAGAAAAUGAUGAAGAAAGGUUUUCUGCAAGAAGAGAGAAAAUUUAUUCUUUUAUGAAAAUUCCAAGAGAAGUUGAAAAAUUUAUGGCCUAUGGAUUUUUACAAUGUGCAGAUUCUUUUUUAUUUGUUUAUACAUUUCUUCCACUAAGAUUUAUGAUGGCAUUGUGGACAAUAAUUACGAGACCCUUAUUACACUGCUUUGGAAAGGAAAGGAGUAAUUUAAGAGUUGGAGAACGGCAUCUAAAACCAGCAGAGAUUUGCGAUCUUUUAAAGGGAAUUGUGGUGAUCAGCUGUUGGGCAGCUACAUGGAAGGUUGACACCUCUAUGAUGUACCAUUUGGUGAAAAGUCAAUCAGUAAUAAAAUUGUAUAUAUUUUAUAAUAUGCUGGAAGUCGGUGAUAGAUUGUUCAGCGCUUUUGGCCAAGAUACGAUAGAUGCUCUUCUAUGGACAGCUACGGAGCCUAGAUCAAAAACACAAACACAAACAUCUCAGCAUUUGGGCACUCUACCUCAUCUAUUGUUUGCUGUUGCUUAUGUUUUAUUACACAGUAUAUUGGUGCUUUUCCAAGCAACGACUUUGAAUGUUGCCAUUAAUAGCAGCAACAAGGCGCUACUUACUAUAAUGAUGUCUAAUAAUUUCGUAGAAUUAAAAGGUUCCGUUUUUAAGAAAUUUGACAAGAAGAAUCUAUUUCAAUUAUCUUGUGCAGACGUGAGAGAACGUUUUCAUUUGAUGAUGCUUCUUCUUGCUGUGAAUCUGCAAACAAUGAAAGAGUACGCAUGGAAAGCGGAACGACUUGCAGUGCUAUUGCCAGAUUGCAUAAUGUUGCUCUUGGCAGAAGUCCUCGUAGAUUGGGUGAAGCACGCCUUUAUAACUCGUUUCAACGAACUACGUUCAACAGUAUACAGGGAUUAUACAAUAAGUUUAGCGUAUGAUAUGGCGCAAACUCGUAAUGAGACCGCCUUUUCUGAUGCUUCGGACCUUGUAGCCCGCAGGAUGGGUUUUAUUCCUCUUCCGCUAGGUGUCGCAAUGGGAAGAGUACUUUGCACGACUAUCACGCCGUCUGCCAAACCAGCCAAUAUAAUUUUGUUGCUUCUGGCAUAUCUAAUAUUAGUGGCAUUCAAGAUUUUAAAUAGUUUGAUAAUUCUUGGUAAGGCAUGUGAUUUCAUUUCAUCACAUUCCACGGAGCCUGACAAUGAAGUGACUUCUUUGAAAUAUUCUUCAACAAGUACCGAUAUAAAAAAUCCAAAUUUAGCUACAGCAAUUUUUUCCAAUAGUGCAAUUAGUUUAAAUAACGUUUGUCUCAACGAAGCUGUCUUGAAGGAGGAAAUAGAGUGUCCCAGGAAAGUACGAGAUUUAAUUUCAUAUAACAGAGAAAAAAACCUAAGGAAUUUAAAUCCAGUGAUCCAGAUGGUCAUAACAGAUGCCUUUGCUUUAUCCAUUUCUAUUAAUGGAUUUUUAAAAAAAUUAUGACAAUUAUAAUAUCAUAGUAUUUCAUCAUGUUGGAAUUAUUCUUCUUAAUAUAUACAAGUAAGAUAGAAGAAAAG